UACGUAGGGUGCAAGCGUUGUCCGGAAUUAUUGGGCGUAAAGAGCUCGUAGGCGGUCUGUCGCGUCGGCUGUGAAAUCCCGAGGCUCAACCCCCGGGUCUGCAGUCGAUACGGGCAGGCUAGAGUUCGGUAGGGGAGAUCGGAAUUCCUGGUGUAGCGGUGGAAUGCGCAGAUAUCAGGAGGAACACCCAUAGCGAAGGCAGCUUGCUGGGACGUUACUGACGCUAAGGCGCGAAAGCGUGGGGAGCGAACAGG
rnacentral:rRNA from 1 species